rnacentral:tRNA from 1 species
AGCGGCGGGAGCGGCGUGGCGCGCAGCCGGUUUUCGCGCAAGCGGCGGUAGAUGUUUUCGACGUCGAUGAUCGCAUCGUCCACCACUUC